GACUUCUUCCUCAGGAGCACAGUGUGACUCGUCCUGCGUGUUCCACUCACUUCCUGCAAGAAUGGCAGCAAUGCAGGUAAUCCACGGUGGAAGCGAGGCCAUGGGAAGGAUUUGACACUUGACAACUUUAGGCCUCGUGCCUAACCUACGGCUACAAGACAAGACGUGCCAUGGCCACAUAAAAGAGCCACAAAGGAGUCUACACAUCACGAGCUCUCUGCUACCGACAUCACCUUCAGAGCUGAGUGUGUGACUGCAGCUGUUUGAUGAAGAGACUUCUGUUGGAGGAGGAAGAGACGAUUAGAAGGUUAAUUGAACACGUCUUUGUCAUACGUCUGUGGACACCAACUUUCUUCCAACAUAAACACUCUUCAAGUAGUUUUUAUACUUCUGCUUUCACAAGGGCUGUCAAAGUUAUUAACGCCUUAACUAUACAUUUCAAUAACGGCACUCUUUUUUUUUUUUUAACAGGCGAAUAACGCAAACUCU